rnacentral:rRNA from 1 species
GACGAACGCUGGCGGCGUGCUUAACACAUGCAAGUCGAACGGAAAGGCCCUGCUUUUGUGGGGUGCUCGAGUGGCGAACGGGUGAGUAACACGUGAGUAACCUGCCCUUGACUUUGGGAUAACUUCAGGAAACUGGGGCUAAUACCGGAUAGGAGCUCCUGCUGCAUGGUGGGGUUGGAAAGUUUCGGCGGUUGGGGAUGGACUCGCGGCUUAUCAGCUUGUUGGUGGGGUAGUGGCCUACCAAGGCUUUGACGGGUAGCCGGCCUGAGAGGGUGACCGGCCACAUUGGGACUGAGAUACGGCCCAGACUCCUACGGGAGGCAGCAGUGGGGAAUAUUGCACAAUGGGCGGAAGCCUGAUGCAGCAACGCCGCGUGCGGGAUGACGGCCUUCGGGUUGUAAACCGCUUUCGCCUGUGACGAAGCGUGAGUGACGGUAAUGGGUAAAGAAGCACCGGCUAACUACGUG